rnacentral:rRNA from 1 species
UACAGAGGGGGCAAGCGUUGUUCGGAAUUACUGGGCGUAAAGGGCGCGUAGGCGGCCUUCUAAGUCGAACGUGAAAUCCCCGGGCUCAACCCGGGAACUGCGUCCGAGACUGAAAGGCUCGAAUCCGGGAGAGGGAUGUGGAAUUCCAGGUGUAGCGGUGAAAUGCGUAGGUAUCUGGAGGAACAUCGGUGGCGAAGGCGGCAUCCUGGACCGGUAUUGACGCUGAGGCGCGAAAGCCAGGGGAGCAAACGGG